AGAGUUUGAUCCUGGCUCAGAUUGAACGCUGGCGGCAUGCUUUACACAUGCAAGUCGGACGGCAGCACGGGGAAGCUUGCUUCUCGGGUGGCGAGUGGCGAACGGGUGAGUAACAUAUCGGAACGUACCGGGUAGCGGGGGAUAACUGAUCGAAAGAUCAGCUAAUACCGCAUACGUCUUGAGAGGGAAAGCAGGGGACCUUCGGGCCUUGCGCUAUCCGAGCGGCCGAUAUCUGAUUAGCUGGUUGGCGGGGUAAAGGCCCACCAAGGCGACGAUCAGUAGCGGGUCUGAGAGGAUGAUCCGCCACACUGGGACUGAGACACGGCCCAGACUCCUACGGGAGGCAGCAGUGGGGAAUUUUGGACAAUGGGCGCAAGCCUGAUCCAGCCAUGCCGCGUGUCUGAAGAAGGCCUUCGGGUUGUAAAGGACUUUUGUCAGGGAAGAAAAGGCCGUUGCCAAUAUCGGCGGCCGAUGACGGUACCUGAAGAAUAAGCACCGGCUAACUACGUGCCAGCAGCCGCGGUAAUACGUAGGGUGCGAGCGUUAAUCGGAAUUACUGGGCGUAAAGCGGGCGCAGACGGUUACUUAAGCAGGAUGUGAAAUCCCCGGGCUCAACCCGGGAACUGCGUUCUGAACUGGGUGACUCGAGUGUGUCAGAGGGAGGUGGAAUUCCACGUGUAGCAGUGAAAUGCGUAGAGAUGUGGAGGAAUACCGAUGGCGAAGGCAGCCUCCUGGGAUAACACUGACGUUCAUGUCCGAAAGCGUGGGUAGCAAACAGGAUUAGAUACCCUGGUAGUCCACGCCCUAAACGAUGUCAAUUAGCUGUUGGGCAACUUGAUUGCUUGGUAGCGUAGCUAACGCGUGAAAUUGACCGCCUGGGGAGUACGGUCGCAAGAUUAAAACUCAAAGGAAUUGACGGGGACCCGCACAAGCGGUGGAUGAUGUGGAUUAAUUCGAUGCAACGCGAAGAACCUUACCUGGUUUUGACAUGUGCGGAAUCCUCCGGAGACGGAGGAGUGCCUUCGGGAGCCGUAACACAGGUGCUGCAUGGCUGUCGUCAGCUCGUGUCGUGAGAUGUUGGGUUAAGUCCCGCAACGAGCGCAACCCUUGUCAUUAGUUGCCAUCAUUCGGUUGGGCACUCUAAUGAGACUGCCGGUGACAAGCCGGAGGAAGGUGGGGAUGACGUCAAGUCCUCAUGGCCCUUAUGACCAGGGCUUCACACGUCAUACAAUGGUCGGUACAGAGGGUAGCCAAGCCGCGAGGCGGAGCCAAUCUCACAAAACCGAUCGUAGUCCGGAUUGCACUCUGCAACUCGAGUGCAUGAAGUCGGAAUCGCUAGUAAUCGCAGGUCAGCAUACUGCGGUGAAUACGUUCCCGGGUCUUGUACACACCGCCCGUCACACCAUGGGAGUGGGGGAUACCAGAAGUAGGUAGGGUAACCGCAAGGAGCCCGCUUACCACGGUAUGCUUCAUGACUGGGGUGAAGUCGUAACAAGGUAGCCGUAGGGGAACCUGCGGCUGGAUCACCU
rnacentral:rRNA from 1 species